ACAUUUAUGCUAUUGCUAUAAUAAUAAUAAUAAUAAUAAUAAAUUUCCCCCCUUUUCACAACUAACCCUAAAAGCUUAAAGGGUUUAUUCCUUUCCCUGGAAAAACCUUCGUCCCACCACCAGACCACCACCAUACUUGGUGGCCAGUGACGCACGAGAAUGAACCUUUCGACCCUGUUCCAAGAUAAGUUCGGGUACAGCUGGAGGGUGGCGCGUGUGGAGGCCGUUGUGGAGAUGGCUUGUGGGAGCCGAAAGCUAGGGUUACCCAUGCUGAAAAUUUAUUUAUUUAUUGGGCCAUUCAAGCCUAAGUUUUUAAUCAUUUUGAGCUUGUAUUUGAGUAAGUUUAAUCUGUAAAAAACAGGCCAAUCUGGAUGUGUUCAUUUGGGUUUUGUAAUGCUGGACUUUGGACCUUAUUUUGUUUUAUAGUUUAUGCCCGGGCAGAUUGGGCCUCUUAUAAGUGAAAUGGUGGAUAAGGAGAUAUAUCAAAGACUCAUCGAACGAUUGAUUUAUCUCGCUCAUACUAGACUUGAUAUAGCCUAUGCGAUUGGUUUGACAAGCCAGUUUAUGCAUGAUCCUCGCGAAGCCUAGAUGUAGACAGUAUUACGAAUUUUGUGCUAUUCUAAGUCUACACCGAGCAAAGGAGAAAACUUAGUCACUUGGAGGAGCAAGAAACAAAGUGUUGUGGCUCGAUCAAGUGCAGAGGCUGCAUAUAAGGCCAUGGCUUAAGGUGUUUUUGAGCUUUUAUGGCUGCAAAAGGUAUUGGAAGAGCUAAAAUUGUUAAACUAAAAUAGAUCAACCUUGUACUAUAACAACAAAAUGGCCAUUAGCAUAGCUCAAAAUCCAAUGCAACACGAUAGAACCAAGCAUAUCAAAAUUUAUCGAAAUUUUAUCAAGGAAAAAGUAGCCAUUGGUGCCUUAA